rnacentral:rRNA from 1 species
CUACCGCAUACGAUCUAAUCUCGGCAUCGAGGAUAGAUGAAAGGUGGCCUCUACAUGUAAGCUAUCACUGAAGGAGGGGGAUUGCGUCUGAUUAGCUAGUUGGAGGGGUAACGGCCCACCAAGGCGAUGAUCAGUAGCCGGUCUGAGAGGAUGAACGGCCACAUUGGGACUGAGACACGGCCCAGACUCCUACGGGAGGCAGCAUG